AUGGCCGCCGUCGCCCCCGCGCCGGAGGACCGCGUGGCCGCCGACGCCGCCAAGCUCGUGGCCGCCCACGUGGAAGACGACGAGCAGCGAGGGGGCUGCUGCUGCUGCUGCGGUGCCGCGGCUUCGUCUCUGGCGAGGCGAGCCACGUCCUGGUGCCGCCGGAAGCUCGUCUCGCGCCCCGUCGUCCGUGGCGGACCGAUCGAGCCGGCGUCCAAGCGGGUGCUCGUGGCGGUGGCCGCCGGCACGGAGCCGCUCGAGGCGGCCGCCGCGGCCGACAUCCUCGACCGCGCCGGCGCCAGGGUCACCGUCGGCACCGCGUCCGAGGGCCUCGUGGUGGAGGCCGGCCAUGGGGUCAGGUUCGCCGCGGACGGCAGACUCGCCGGCCUGGAAGCAGAGGAGUUCGACCUCAUCGUCCUGCCGGGAGGUAUGAAAGGAUCAGCCAACCUUGGGGACUGCAAGCAGCUGGAGAAAAUGGUCAGGAAGCACACGCAGUCGGGGCGCCUGUGCGCCGCCAUCGGCGCGGCGCCGGCGAUGGUGCUGGCCCGGUGGGGCGUGCUCAAGGGCUUCACGGCGACCUGCCAUCCGGCCCUGCUGGGGCGGCUGGGCGACGACGACGGGGUGAUCGCCGUGGAUGACAGGGUGGUGAAGGACAGGAACGUGGUGACCAGCCAGGGCGUCGGGACGGCGAUCGAGUUCGCGCUCGAACUGGUGGAGCAGCUCUACGGCGAACUCAAGGCACACGAGGUCGCCGGACCUUUGUAUAUGCGGCCCCAGCAAGGAGUCAAGUAUAGCAUCCAAGAGUAUAAUCAGAUCCAAUGGAAAUGCACCGGCACACCACGGGUUCUUGUGCCGGUUGCCAACGGCUCGGAGGAGAUGGAGGCUCUCAACCUGAUCGAUGUCCUGCGCAGGGCAGGCGCACGCGUCACGGUCGCGUCGGUCGAGGACACGCCACGCAUCGUGACCCGCCAUUACAAGCUCAAUCUGAUCACCGAUGUGAUGCUUGAACAGGCUGCUGAAAUGGAGUUCGACCUCAUUGUCAUGCCGGGUGGUCUUCCAGGUGCUCUCAAGUUCACUAGCAGUGAGAAACUUGUGGGCAUGCUGAAGAAACAGGCGGAAUCUGGUAGACCCUAUGGUGCAAUAUGCGCUUCCCCUGCUUACGUCCUCGAGCCACACGGAUUACUCAAGGGUAAGAAAGCAACAUCAUUUCCACCCAUGGCGCACCUGCUUACAGACCAGAGCGCGUGCGAAUACAGGGUCGUCGUCGACGGUAACCUUAUCACGAGCAGAGCGCCAGGGACCGCCACAGAGUUCGCCCUAGCCAUCGUCGAGAAGCUAUUUGGUGAGGAGAAAGCGGUCGCAUUAGCCAAGGAGUUGGUUUUUAUGUGA
rnacentral:rRNA from 1 species